rnacentral:misc_RNA from 1 species
UAGGUGAGCUAGACUACGAC